UAAUAGAAUAUUUAAAUACUUUCAAAGUAUCUCUGCUUCCUGGAGUUAUUUACUAAGUACAGAGGGAGAGACAGUAACUUUGUAACCCUGGGAGACCUCGCCAAGCAAUCAUGGGCAACAUCGCCAGGAUAAGGCACCUCUACGUCACACACCUCUGGAUAUGAUGUGUUGAAAAUCAUUCAUCGUUGCUUUUAUGAUGUUCUUGCCCAAAAUGCAUCACUUUAAUCAGGAGAAAACAUCAAGCAAACACAAAUUGAGGAACAUUUUGCAAAGUGACUGGCCAGUACCUUUCCAAAAGGUGAAGGUCAUGAACAACAAAGAAAAACUGAGGAACUGUCACGCCAUGGAGACGGUGGUGUGAGGAGUGGAUGCAAUGGGAGGCACUGGGUUGGAUCCUGAAACAGAAAAAGGACCUUGUUGGGAAAACUGGUGAAAUCAGAGUAAAGCUUGCCACUUAGUCAACAGCAUUAUGCAAAUACUAAUUUCUUAAUUCUACAGUCCUCCCAUGGCCAUGCAGGAUGCUGACACCAGACAGGUAGGGGAAGGGCACAUGGGAACUGUCUGUACAAUUUUUGCAACUUUUGCGUAAAUCUAAUACUAUUUCAAAAAAAUUUUUUAAACUGUCCAAAAACCUCCCGCUGUAGUCAUGCUGAUUUUCCUAGUCUGUCCAACGUAACCGCAGGAAUCACCAUCACAGGACUUUAUCUUGGAAGAGAAACAGGUUAACACCUGAUUUGGGGUGGGGGGAAAGAGAGAGAGAGAGCCUGCAGAGAAGAGCCCCCAGUAGUCUCUGAUCAAAUUCCCACCAAAACUUCAGCUGAAGCUUCGGGCUUCUGGUCUUUCCUCAAACAGCAGACUUUCUCCUGAUGCCACCAUCAAAAAAACCCUGCCCAUCUCGACGGCAGGGUGCUAGCUGUAUAGAUCAGUGAAUAAGUCAGUAAGAUUAAAAGGUGAUGGAAAUGCGAAGGUCAGGGAGACUUGGGGGCACGGCUGUACCACGGGGGCUUCCUCAUGUCCCCACGUUUUCCAUGUGGAACGUCACUCCCAUCCCACUCACUUCAUAUCCAGCAAGUAUUGAACAAGAAGUCCUGUCAUUUAAAAAGAAAGGGAGAAAAGUUGGUCACAGCCAGAGAAGCGUGUCGUCACUCAAAUGCAGGAGCAUCUGGCGGGCUGAGGAUAUCUUUUAUACCAUUAAGAAGGACCAAGACAUAGUCCUUUCUAAAACUGGGCUAGAGGCAAAAGAAAAAAAAAUGCCUGGAGUUGAGGCAGAAACUCAUAAGCCCAUAAAGGGAGGCGGACACGAAGGCGGGACGGAAGCACGUCAUCGGCGGACAGAAGGCGUGACGGAAGUACGUCAUCACCGAGGCUCUCACUGUGCUCACGGCCUCAUGAGCCCAUAAAGGGAAGCGGACACGAAGGCGGGACGGAAGCGCGUCAUCGGCGGGACGGAAGCGCAUCAUCGGCGGACAGAAGGCGUGACGGAAGCACGUCAUCACCGAGGCUCUCACAGCGCUCACGGCCUCAUGAGCCCAUAAAGGGAGGCGGACACUAAGGCGGGACGGAAGCGCGUCAUCACCGAGGCUCUCACAGCUCCCAGGACCUUAUGAGCCCAUAAAGGGAAGCGGACACGAAGGCGGGACGAAAGCGCGUCAUCGCCGAGGCUCUCACAGCUCCCAGGACGUCCGCAAGCAUGUUUCCAACAAGCCCUGCCCACGUGUGGUUUCCCGUGUGACUGACCACGGACCGAGGAGAGCUGGGCCCGCCCUGGGCACGAGGGACCACGGGGCAUCCUUUCGGCUGGUGCUGCCAACAGGCCUCCUUCCAGGGCAGAGCCACUCUCUGUGUUAAAUGUUUGCCCAGAAGCCGGCCACGUUUCCAAAACCGGGCACAGUGACUCUGAGAUCAACACUCAAAAAUAUCAUUUCCAAAAGAAUUCAAAUUCCCCCAGAAGGGAAGCUACAGAAAUCAUAACUGCUGUGUGGCCGUGCAGCCCAGAGCAUGUGACAGCCGGUGAUGAGUGUCAGAGCCGCAUUGCCACCCGGCACAGGCAGGAGGAGAUGAAACAUUUAUGGUGUGAAUUAAAACAAAAGGAAAAAAACAAUUUUUUUUUUUUUGAGAUGGGAUCUGGAUCUGUUGCUCAGAUCCAGUGGAGCGCAGUGGCUGGAGUGCAGUGGUGAGAUCUCGGCUCACUAGAGCUUCCGCCUCCUGGGCUCAAGCCAUCCUCGUGCUUCAGCCUCCGAAAGUAGCUGGGACCCCAGGGGUGCAUCACCGUGACCAGAAAAUUUUUACAUUUUUGGUAGAGACGCGUUUCACCAUGUUGCCCAAGGUGAUCUCAAACUCCUGAGCUCAAGCCAUCUUCCCACCUCAGCCUCCCAAAGUGCUGCAGUUAAGGUGUGAGCCACAGUGACCGGCCGAGAAAUGAUACUUUAAGUAAAAUGCCUAUGAGUCCAUCACUAAAGGGAAAAUCAUUUCCAUGGAGGCCUGUGUCAUAGUUUAUCCAGGAUUUUAAAGAGAUGCUGCUACUCUGCAGGUGUCUAAUGUCAUAGGAUGGCAAAAGAGAGAAGCCUGAAAUAUUUAUAUGAAUAGAAUAUGAAACUUAACUAAUGGUGCCCGCUUCGAUUACGUGCAUUUUCACAUUGCUACUAACCUGAAAGCCGCCCUCAAUAUUUUAUAGGCUACCAUUUCCCGCCUGGGCUACACGAGGCCUCUGGGUUCUUUUACGAACAUUGUCUGUCAUUUAUUAUGUGAUAGAUGCAUAAUUGUAAAUUACACGGAAAGCCAAAAUAAAAACAUGUUUACGUUUUACACUGGAAUUUUAUUCCUGUAGUGUAUUAAUUAUGUGAAGAUAAGAUGUCUGUUGAAAUUUUUCAGGAAAUAUUUUUCUCCUCUCCAAAAGAUUUUCAUAAUUAUCAAUGAGCAAAGCAUAAA
rnacentral:lncRNA from 1 species